GACUCUGUAGCUCAGUUGAUUAGAGCGCUGCACCGGAAUCGCAGGGCCGUAGGUUCAAUUCCUACCAGAGGAC
rnacentral:tRNA from 1 species